rnacentral:rRNA from 1 species
CCUACGGGAGGCAGCAGUGAGGAAUAUUGGUCAAUGGCCGGAAGGCUGAACCAGCCAUGCCGCGUGAAGGUCAGUGCCCUAUGGGCGUUAAACUUCUUUUGUGCGGGAGCAAUAAUGGUCACGUGUGGCCAGACGAGAGUACCGUACGAAUAAGCAUCGGCUAACUCCGUGCCAGCAGCCGCGGUAAUACGGGGGAUGCAAGCGUUAUCCGGAUUUAUUGGGUUUAAAGGGUGCGUAGGCUGGGAGGUAAGUCAGCGGUGAAAUGCCCCCGCUCAACGGGGUGAAGUGCCAUUGAUACUGCCUGGCUGGAAUGCGGAUGCCGUGGGAGGAAUGUGUGGUGUAGCGGUGAAAUGCAUAGAUAUCACACAGAACACCGAUUGCGAAGGCAUCUCACGAAUCCGCAAUUGACGCUGAUGCACGAAAGCGUGGGUAUCAAACAGGAUUAGAUACCCCUGUAGUC